GGAUGGCUCAGUUGGUAGAGCAUGAAACUCUUAAUCUCAGGGUUGUGGGUUCGAGACCCACUGGCAAAA